AACAGUGUUUUCCGUCUCGGCCUCCGAAGGCUUUCUCAGACAAUGUGUACAUCUUGUGUGUGUGGGAAGGAUCAGGAAGCACGAGAUCCCAAACCUAGGAGACGGGCAAAUUCCUGCUCCAUUUGAAGAGAACUACAUAGUGAAUCAAAUGUAAUGUGUCAGUGGUUUUGGAUUGUAUUCUUGAUUCAUUUGGAAAUUUGCCCUAGGGAAAUAUUUAUGUGAAUAUUUGACCAUGAAGUGAAGAAUGAGAUUAACGAUCUUUUUUAUUUCCUUUUGUACAAGGCACAUAAAAGGGAAAGGGUGUGUGAAGAAUAACUCAUAAGAGAAUGACAGCUUGUCAGUUCAUGUUCAGUGGUUGACCCU
rnacentral:lncRNA from 1 species